rnacentral:rRNA from 1 species
AACGAACGCUGGCGGCAUGCCUAACACAUGCAAGUCGAACGAGACCUUCGGGUCUAGUGGCGCACGGGUGCGUAACGCGUGGGAACCUGCCCUUAGGUUCGGAAUAACUCCCCGAAAGGGGUGCUAAUACCGGAUAAUGUCUUCGGACCAAAGAUUUAUCGCCUUUGGAUGGGCCCGCGUUGGAUUAGCUAGUUGGUAGGGUAAAAGCCUACCAAGGCGACGAUGCUUAGCUGGUCGGAGAGGAGGACCAGCCACACUGGGACUGAGACACGGCCCAGACUCCUACGGGAGGCAGCAGUGGGGAAUAUUGGACGAUGGGCGAAAGCCUGAUCCAGCAAUGCCGCGUGAGUGAUGAAGGCGUUAGGGUUGUAAAGCUCUCUUACCCGGGAUGAUAAUGACAGUACCGGGAGAAUAAGCACCGGCUAACUCCGUG